rnacentral:rRNA from 1 species
AAAUUGAAGAGUUUGAUCAUGGCUCAGAUUGAACGCUGGCGGCAGGCCUAACACAUGCAAGUCGAACGGUAACAGGAAGCAGCUUGCUGCUUCGCUGACGAGUGGCGGACGGGUGAGUAAUGUCUGGGAAACUGCCUGAUGGAGGGGGAUAACUACUGGAAACGGUGGCUAAUACCGCAUAACGUCGCAAGACCAAAGAGGGGGACCUUCGGGCCUCUUGCCAUCAGAUGUGCCCAGAUGGGAUUAGCUUGUUGGUGAGGUAACGGCUCACCAAGGCGACGAUCCCUAGCUGGUCUGAGAGGAUGACCAGCCACACUGGAACUGAGACACGGUCCAGACUCCUACGGGAGGCAGCAGUGGGGAAUAUUGCACAAUGGGCGCAAGCCUGAUGCAGCCAUGCCGCGUGUAUGAAGAAGGCCUUCGGGUUGUAAAGUACUUUCAGCGGGGAGGAAGGUGUUGCGGUUAAUAACCGCAGCAAUUGACGUUACCCGCAGAAGAAGCAC